rnacentral:rRNA from 1 species
GUCCACGGCCAUGCUACCCUGAACAAGCCUGAUCCUGCCUGAUGUUGGAAGCUAAGCAGAGUCGGGCCUGGUUAGUACUUGGAUGGGAGACCACCUAGCAAGACCAGGUGCCAUAGGUA